UCUGAUGACAGAAAUGCCUAUAUUGUGCAUUCAUUGUUUAUUUUAAAGGUUAACCUAUGAUGUAAAGGGGCUUGUUCGUUAAUAAAAUAAAUAGUUUGUUAAAACCACU